AGUGAACGCUGGCGGCAGGCCUAACACAUGCAAGUCGAACGGCAGCACAAGAGAGCUUGCUCUCUGGGUGGCGAGUGGCGGACGGGUGAGGAAUGCAUCGGAAUCUGCCCAUUCGUGGGGGAUAACCUCGGGAAACCGGGACUAAUACCGCAUACGACCUACGGGUGAAAGCAGGGGAUCUUCGGACCUUGCGCAGAUGGAUGAGCCGAUGCCGGAUUAGCUAGUUGGAGGGGUAAAGGCCCACCAAGGCGACGAUCCGUAGCUGGUCUGAGAGGAUGAUCAGACACACUGGGACUGAGACACGGCCCAGACUCCUACGGGAGGCAGCAGUGGGGAAUAUUGGACAAUGGGCGCAAGCCUGAUCCAGCCAUGCCGCGUGUGUGAAGAAGGCCUUCGGGUUGUAAAGCACUUUUGUUGGGAAAGAAAAGCAGCCGGUUAAUACCCGGUUGUCAUGACGGUACCCAAAGAAUAAGCACCGGCUAACUUCGUG
rnacentral:rRNA from 1 species